rnacentral:rRNA from 1 species
CAAUAGCGUAUAUUAAAGUUGUUGCAGUUAAAAAGCUCGUAGUUGGAUUUCGGGGUGGCCUGGCUGGUCAGCCGCAAGGUGAGUACUGGUCAGCCGCCCUUCCUCUCGAAAGCCCCGACUGCUCUUUACUGCAGUGGUCGGGUAGUUCGGGACGUUUACUUUGAAAAAAUUAGAGUGUUCAAGGCAGGCUAUCGCCUGAAUACAUUAGCAUGGAAUAAUGGAAGAGGACCUCGGUCCUAUUUUGUUGGUUUCUAGGGCCGAAGUAAUGAUUAAGAGGGACAGUUGGGGGCAUUCGUAUUUAAUUGUCAGAGGUGAAAUUCUUGGAUUUAUGAAAGACGAACUAGUGCGAAAGCAUUUGCCAAGGAUGUUUUCAUUAA